rnacentral:lncRNA from 1 species
GGCGGACCCACCUCUGCCACACCGCUUGCUCAUUGGCUGAACCCGCCCAACACUCAGCUGUGAGCCGGCGUCCUACUGGCAUCAACCACGCGCGCUCUAAGUCUCGGUGGCGUCCUAACGCUGCGGCAGAGGGCCCCGAGGCGGGGACGGAACCUAAGUGUGUCCCGACUCGCCGGGAGCCCCGGGGCGCACCCUCCGCCCGCAGAAGUGGUAGCCUCUCGUCCCCGCACGCCGGUCUCAGGGCUUCACCGGAGUUAACACAGCCAAGAGCCCAGCCCUGAUCCGGAGGAGACCACUCCAAGAACGGGCACACAGGCUGCCAGCCUCUGGCCAAGCUUCUAGAGAUCAGAUCUGGAAAACGCUGCUUCCCGUACUUCAUCAAGCCGAAGAGACCCUCACUUGUAAGAUACACCAUUACUUCAUGAGCCUUCGUGAAAGAAAAAGUGCUU